rnacentral:sRNA from 1 species
AAUAGCCAAGAGUGUUACCUCUGACAUAAGAGUGAACUCUUAUGUAGCUCAAAGCUAUCCUAGAUGGAUGAAAGAUUUCUUCAUUAAGGAGAAAUGUAUUGUCGAUAGUAUUAGGUCCUAAGUUUUUUUUAGUUUUAAGUUAGGAGUUGUAAUUAUAGAGUGUAUUUUAUUAGGUUCUAGGUCCUUCUUUUUAUUUAUUCCAGUAAUUUUCUAGUUAGAUAGAUUUUUAAAGAGAUUACUUCGCAAUGAUAGAAAAAAAACAAAAAGAUUUAGUCCUUCUAGACUUAAGCGGUGGAUUAAUGUUUAUAGUCUUUUCUGGGGUUUGAAUCUUUGACUUUAGCUUUCUUACAAUUAAGGUUUCUCCUUCUCGUAAUUGAUCCUAGAGUAUAUAAAUUAGGAAGUCUGCUUUCUCUUAGUCCUGUAUCUUUAAGCUUUCAUAAUUAGGAAAAAAAAAAAAAAAAAGAGAGAAGGGGUAGCGAUGAGUGAUGAAUUGUGGAACGCCAUACAACAUAUGGAUUUAGGUCGUGAGGAGCCUGAACUUUAUAUCCCAUAUCAUGCUUAUGUUGGAGCGUUGGCUUCUAACAGAUUAAGUCUCCUUGGAAGAAUUCUAAAUCCUCAAACUCAAAGCGUUGAAAGAGCUAUCUUGGAGCUACCUUAUCAGUGGGGACUUGGAACUCAGGUACAUGGACGCAUCCUUGACGACAGAUGUUUUCAAGUUCGUUUUCGCUCGGAGAUAGAUCUACUUAAUGGGCUAAGAAGAGCGCCUUGGGUUUUUAAUGAAUGGUUUAUUGCACUUCAGAGAUGGGAAGACUUUCCUACAGAGGAUUUCCUUACCUUUAUAGAUGUUUGGGUUCAUAUUAGAGGAAUUCCUUUACCAUAUGUGUCAGAAAGGACAGUUGAGAUCAUUGCUAGUACUUUAGGAGAGGUUGUGGCUAUGGAUUUCAAUGAAGAAACUACAUCGCAGAUAACCUUUAUUCGUGUUAAGGUUAGAAUGGAUUUCACUGAGCCACUACGUUUCUUUCGAAGAGUACGGUUUGCAUCUAGAGAAAGAGCCAUGAUUGGCUUUGAGUAUGAGAAGCUUCAGCGAGUUUGCACCAACUGCUGUCGAGUGAAUCAUCAAGUCAGUCAUUGCCCGUAUGUUGUGCAUCAGGAGGAGAUGGAUAAUGAACCAGAUGUUUUGGUCUCUCCAGAGAGGUAUGAUGAUGAAGACAGUCUCAAUCAAGAAGAUCACGGGAGACACUCACAAAGUUCUGUUAUCUCAUCGUUUUCAUCCUUAACUCCAAUAUCACUGAAUGCGCCUCCUGUUGUAAACUGGAAUGAUAACAUGAUAGGCAACAUACCUCAUAGAUUCCCAUCAACUUCAGUCUCAUCUUCUCACACUGUUUCAGAUGGUUACCUUGCAGCUUCGGAAUGGAGACCUAAAGAUCAAGUUAGCUAUGAGGUUGGUGAGAGUUCAAAGAGAAAGAAAGGGAAGCAAGUAUUAGAAGUGCCUGAACGCAGCAUCCGACAGAGACGAAUGGGAUCCGGGAUAAGGUUUUACCCGGUGAAUGGUGAAAAUCCUUAAACUCUAACAUGAAGGUUAAUAAGAGAGUAGUAUCGAGUUUCUACUCUAAGGACACUUCUUUUGAGAAUCAAGUUUCAGUUUGGUACCUUAGGUAAUAAUGAUCCACUUUGAACAAUAGGGUGGAGUGUGACAUAAUUUUUUGAAGAACACUGAUAGUAAGAAGCUGACAAAGGAAGAUGUGGACAACAUCUUUUGAUCUUCCUUGAUUACUUUUUGGAUCUUGUAGUACUAAUAAUCUACUGGAAGAAAGGCUGGGUUUUGAAGAUUCUGGAAUCAAGAAAUGAAGAUGAACUGCGGACAAAUCAGUUUAUGUCUGAAGACUAAGACACAUCCUUAAUUUCAUUAGUUAUUAGUAGGUACAACUGAUGUAAUAUGAAGUUUUUAAGGUUGCAGUUUGUUUGUACU